rnacentral:rRNA from 1 species
GAUGAACGCUGGCGGCGUGCCUACUACAUGCAAGUCGAGCGGAGCGGGGACGGGUGAGUAACACGUGGAUAACAUCCUAUGAGAAUGGGAUAACUUCGGGAAACCGGAGCUAGACCGGACACUUAUCAAACGAGACGCGCUGCAUUAGCUAGUGGGUAAGGUAAUGGCUUACCAAGACAACGAUGCAUAGCCGACCUGAGAGGGUGAUCGGCCACACUGGAACGGAGACACGGUCCAGACUCCUACGGGAGGCAGCAGUAGGGAAUCUUCCGCAAUGGGCGAAAGCCUGACGGAGCAACGCCGCGUGAGUGAUGAAGGUCUUCGGAUCGUAAAACUCUGUUAUUAGGGAAGCGGUACCUAAUCAGAAAGCCACGGCUAACUACGUGCCAGCAGCCGCGGUAAUAC